GCCUUGUCUGGUGAUCUGGGCGUUUAGUUCUGGUCCUGCUGCAGUCCUGGAAGCCUGUGGACAAAAUUGGAAUAGAAAGGAAGAUCUUUAAGAAAGAAGUUGGCAGAUCUAUCACUGCCAAGGGCUACUGAAUAAUCGUGCCGGCUCUGAAGUCCAAGCUUCGGAUAAGGAGAGGAACAUACCGUGGACUGACCCAUUGGAAAGCAGUUGGCAGCGCAAGGAGAAGCCGAGUCUUGAUUCUUCUUUUAAGCUGGUCUAUGGAUCACAUUGAUACAGGGGUGCUUGCAAGGAGAGGAGAAACUGGGGGAGUUUGUGUGAACUGUGUGAAUUGAAUCAUUGGGGCUUCUCGGCAGCCCCUCUGGGCGCCGAGCAGGUCAUGCAGCCCUAGCUUUGGUCUAAAGACCCAAUCCAGCCUGCACUSCUCUCCCAUUACAUUGCUGUAUUUAGUUUUCUUAGUAGAUAUUAUAAAUUCAAGAGUGGGAAAGAUAUUGGAAUAUAUAUGUAUACAUGUAUGGAGAUAUAUAAACGCAUAUACCUGUAUAUAGCUUGAAUGUAGUGUAGCAACAACUUAGGGUAAGUUUGUAAUCUUGUUCAACACAUAGUUUCUCAUUUCUAUUCCCACCUCAGCCACUCUAUGUGAUUUAUGGGUCAUUUCUGCUUAGGUUUGGUCAAAUUUCAUCUAUCCAUAAUGAUAUGAGUGAAGGAGAGAUAUUUUUAUCAAAUUAGCAUUUAUUGUGUGCUACCAAAAAGAAUGACUGUUCAAAAAGAAUGACUGUUUCAAGAUAACCUGAGGGUCAAGUAGCCUUAAAAAGAAACUUUGAUUUGUCAACAAAUUCACCAUCAUCUUGUGUGUAAAUAAUCAUGCGCAAUUAACAUCAAAUACACACAGGAAUCUAAAGUUAAAAUGUUG